GACGAACGCUGGCGGCGUGCCUAAUACAUGCAAGUAGAACGCUGAAGCUUGGUGCUUGCACCGAGCGGAUGAGUUGCGAACGGGUGAGUAACGCGUAGGUAACCUGCCUGGUAGCGGGGGAUAACUAUUGGAAACGAUAGCUAAUACCGCAUAAGAGUAGAUGUUGCAUGACAUUUGCUUAAAAGGUGCAAUUGCAUCACUACCAGAUGGACCUGCGUUGUAUUAGCUAGUUGGUGAGGUAACGGCUCACCAAGGCAACGAUACAUAGCCGACCUGAGAGGGUGAUCGGCCACACUGGGACUGAGACACGGCCCAGACUCCUACGGGAGGCAGCAGUAGGGAAUCUUCGGCAAUGGACGGAAGUCUGACCGAGCAACGCCGCGUGAGUGAAGAAGGGUUUCGGAUCGUAAAGCUCUGUUGUAAGAGAAGAACGAGUGUGAGAGUGGAAAGUUCACAAUGUGACGGUAUCUUACCAGAAAGGGACGGCUAACUACGUG
rnacentral:rRNA from 1 species